UAAUAACUGGAGGGGAACUUUAAAGGCCAUUUCAUAAUUACUGCGUACCUUUGGUGGGUUUUACGGCAUGGUUGAGGGGUGGGCUGAAGUAUGCAGAGGGUGGCAUGUGCCAUUUGUUGAUGCUUGGCGGAAAAUACAUGGUGCACAAAGGAGAAGUGAAGUGUGCAGCACAGAUUAAUGCAAUGGGGUUUUCUAUGAAAUUGCCGGAGCCAACAUGGACUACAUCAAAACACUGAAACAGGAAAAGCUACAAUUAUUUAGGCAAAGGACUUAAUAACCAGUGAAGAUUUCUCUACCUGUGAGAAAUCUUCACUGGUAGAUUUCUGACAGUUGAAUUCAAGCAAUAUUAAUAUUGCUUGAAAGUUAUAAUAAAGGUGGACAAAACAAUGUUUGGACAAAGUGCUGGAUGUCUGCAUCAAUAGAUGGACCAAACGAAUGGAAGGACAGACUUAUAAACAGAGGGGACGAGCAAAUUGACUGAUGGAUGGACAAACAGAGGGACAGAUGGACCAGUAGAUGGACAAACAAACGGGUGAAGGGAUGGAUGGAUAUCUGCACCAAUGGACAGGAUAUAAAAAAUCUUUAAAAGUUCCAUCUUGAUUUAAAGAUGGGACUUUAAAUCAACACAACCACAUGAGAGGCAAAGACGGGACAUGACGGCAGGAAAACACACAGAAGUGCAGAAACAACCAGCAUGCAUGAGGCUGUGUGCAAAUCGGGAGCAUCAGUGGGCGAGGAGGUGGGCGUUUCAGAUGGAAGAGCCCCCAGGUGUGUUGUAAGAGGGCUAGCUUGCUGCCUGCUGAGAUGUUAGAUCCUGAGGAAGAGAACCGGAGGGGAGAACGAAGGAAGAGCUGUUCACAGGGCUCACUACACACACACACACAUAAAAAUGUUGGGAAAUGCUGUGCUGGGUAUGACUCGGUGGAGGAAACUCCCAGACUGGAGCAUGUUCGCCAUAAUCACAUAAGACUGGAACAGAUACCUCUGCAACAGAGCAGGGAGGAAGAUGGAGGGGGGUUCUCGGGUUUUGGGGGGCGGGGUCCUAAAAAAAGAAUCAGUGUGCCUGGAGAAAAGGAACCAAAGCGAGAAUAAAGAGAAUUGGAUGUAGAACAGAGAGGAAGAUAAAACGGGAGACAGAUGAAUGGUGUUUGGGGAUUGAGACGGAGGGAAACCAGUGGGAAGAUGUGAAAAAACACUGAAAGCAGAGAGAGAGAAAUUAAGCUCAAAGCUCUAUUGGCGACAGCUGAAGAAAGCGAUGGAGAGAACGGUAAAAUGAGAAGAAAGAGAGGGAGAGUUGGAGGAGCGAAGCGCACCUCAGAGCAGGUUGAGCCCAAGAGGAGAAAAAAGGUUUUAGCCAGAUUAAAGGAGCCAGGCGGGCCUCUUAAGACCAGCCGCCUAAUGAAAUAUGUCAAAGCCCAUAAAGAAACACUGGGGCCAUUUAGGAAGGCGGGCGGUGGCGGCUGUGUCGGGCGGGGCGGGGCGCACCAAGCCUGGCAAAUAUGCCGCAUCGGCAAAAAAUGAAAACCAUAGCAAGAGUCUGUCAAUACGCAUUAGCAAGACGUCGACUGGAGAGGAGAUGAAGAAAGGAAGGAAUGGAUCACUUUCUUUAUCAUGGACCUUCAGCUAUGCUGGGAUAAUCAUAACAAAGAGAAGAGAGAGAAAGAGAUGGUAGGAGGAGUGGGAGCCACUUGUGGGAAUGCUGAGUAUAGAGAAAUCCAGGUCGGCAUGGGGCCAUUUCCUACAGGAACUUUAAUGAUCGACUACUGAGAGACAAGACAGAAGAGGACCGAUCCAUCCAUUUAUCCAUCCACUCAUUUGUUCGUCAAUCCAUUUGUGGAUAAAUCCAUGUCUCAGUGUCCAUUUUUCCUCCACCAAUUCCUGUAGUUAGUUAAACAGCUCAUAUUAAAUUAGAAUAUCACCAAAAAGAUGACCUAGUUUAAUAAUUUAUUGUUAUUUUUAAUCCUAAAAAUUUUCUUAUGGUGUAAACAAUCAUUAGAAAUGAAAAAAAAGCCUUGUUUUUCUGAGAAUGAUGUAUCAAUAGAAGGUUUAGUGGAAGGAAAACGUGUUGCAUAAGUGUCAGGGUGUUACAAGAAAUGAAUAAAAGCCCACAGAGCCAAGAAUACAGAUGAGCUGAAGCAAUCUGGACUUCAUUAUCACCUCAGCUGAUCAUCUCCAUGCUACGCUGCACUGAUGCAGUAAUUCAUGCAAAAUGAAAUCCAACUAAAUGGUGAUAUAACACACAGUACAUUACCAACAUUUCUGUAAUAAAAGCUCACUUUUUAAAUUAGCCUUGUAUGACACUCUACAAUAUAUGAUAUUGUGUUUUAUUUUUAUUUUCUGUAAGCCAAGAAAUCAACUGAAAAAUAUUUAAAAAUAUUUAUCAGCAUGUGAAUUUCACUUUUAUGAAACAAAUUACUGAAAUAAAUCAUCUUAACAGUU